rnacentral:rRNA from 1 species
UAAUGCCGGAUGCUCCAGUUGAUCGCAUGGUCUUCUGGGAAAGCUUUCGCGGUAUGGGAUGGGGUCGCGUCCUAUCAGCUUGACGGCGGGGUAACGGCCCACCGUGGCUUCGACGGGUAGCCGGCCUGAGAGGGCGACCGGCCACAUUGGGACUGAGAUACGGCCCAGACUCCUACGGGAGGCAGCAGUGGGGAAUAUUGCACAAUGGGCGCAAGCCUGAUGCAGCGACGCCGCGUGAGGGAUGGAGGCCUUCGGGUUGUAAACCUCUUUUAUCGGGGAGCAAGCGAGAGUGAGUUUACCCGUUGAAUAAGCACCGGCUAACUACGUGCCAGCAGCCGCGGUAAUACGUAGGGUGCAAGCGUUAUCCGGAAUUAUUGGGCGUAAAGGGCUCGUAGGCGGUUCGUCGCGUCCGGUGUGAAAGUCCAUCGCUUAACGGUGGAUCCGCGCCGGGUACGGGCGGGCUUGAGUGCGGUAGGGGAGACUGGAAUUCCCGGUGUAACGGUGGAAUGUGUAGAUAUCGGAAAAGAAACACCAC